AGAGUUUGAUCCUGGCUCAGGACGAACGCUGGCGGCGUGCCUAAUACAUGCAAGUAGAACGCUGAAGACUUUAGCUUGCUAAAGUUGGAAGAGUUGCGAACGGGUGAGUAACGCGUAGGUAACCUGCCUACUAGCGGGGGAUAACUAUUGGAAACGAUAGCUAAUACCGCAUAACAGCAUUUAACCCAUGUUAGAUGCUUGAAAGGAGCAAUUGCUUCACUAGUAGAUGGACCUGCGUUGUAUUAGCUAGUUGGUGAGGUAACGGCUCACCAAGGCGACGAUACAUAGCCGACCUGAGAGGGUGAUCGGCCACACUGGGACUGAGACACGGCCCAGACUCCUACGGGAGGCAGCAGUAGGGAAUCUUCGGCAAUGGGGGCAACCCUGACCGAGCAACGCCGCGUGAGUGAAGAAGGUUUUCGGAUCGUAAAGCUCUGUUGUAAGAGAAGAACGUGUGUGAGAGUGGAAAGUUCACACAGUGACGGUAACUUACCAGAAAGGGACGGCUAACUACGUGCCAGCAGCCGCGGUAAUACGUAGGUCCCGAGCGUUGUCCGGAUUUAUUGGGCGUAAAGCGAGCGCAGGCGGUUUAAUAAGUCUGAAGUUAAAGGCAGUGGCUUAACCAUUGUUCGCUUUGGAAACUGUUAGACUUGAGUGCAGAAGGGGAGAGUGGAAUUCCAUGUGUAGCGGUGAAAUGCGUAGAUAUAUGGAGGAACACCGGUGGCGAAAGCGGCUCUCUGGUCUGUAACUGACGCUGAGGCUCGAAAGCGUGGGGAGCAAACAGGAUUAGAUACCCUGGUAGUCCACGCCGUAAACGAUGAGUGCUAGGUGUUAGGCCCUUUCCGGGGCUUAGUGCCGCAGCUAACGCAUUAAGCACUCCGCCUGGGGAGUACGA
rnacentral:rRNA from 1 species